UUUGCUUGUUUUCUUUUCCAUCAGCUUGGCAGCGGAGGGUGUCCAGGAGGCGGAGCAGUCUGAAAAGAAGAUGCAUCACUGACAGGACAGGCUCACAUGUCGGAGAAGUGAGGUAAAUACUCAGGCCUCAGCGUCUCAGGGCCCUGGCUGGAAGACCUCCAGGAUGUUCAAAACACUCUCACACACCCUCCUCCACCUGCGGGUCCGUGCAGCCCGACAGGGGAUUUCACCGCGCUGAUGACGGGGCGCUGUCUUCCUUCCUGAGCCCACAUAAAUCUGUCGUGUUCUUCGUCCUAUAGUCUAAUAUUAAACUUGUUUUCCAUGACAUGCUGCUCUGCAGGGGAGGGAAAGUUGUUGUCGACUGAGACGAGUUGGGGCAGCCCUGGAGGAAAAACUGGGGUCAGAGUUUCCUCUCGACUAACUGACCUUCUGAUAGUUACUAAUGAUGAUCUCACCUGCUGUUGUUGCAGAGUGGUAGCUUUAUCUGUGGAGUGCUUCUGUGCAGAAAAGGAUUUCUUGAAUAAAAAAGUUUUAUU